AUUGAACGCUGGCGGCAUGCCUUACACAUGCAAGUCGAACGGCAGCACGGGAGCAAUCCCGGUGGCGAGUGGCGAACGGGUGAGUAAUAUAUCGGAACGUGCCCGGUCGUGGGGGGAUAACGUAGCGAAAGCUACGCUAAUACCGCAUACGAUCUACGGAUGAAAGCGGGGGAUCGCAAGACCUCGCGCGAUUGGAGCGGCCGAUAUCAGAUUAGGUAGUUGGUGAGGUAAAGGCUCACCAAGCCGACGAUCUGUAGCUGGUCUGAGAGGACGACCAGCCACACUGGGACUGAGACACGGCCCAGACUCCUACGGGAGGCAGCAGUGGGGAAUUUUGGACAAUGGGCGCAAGCCUGAUCCAGCAAUGCCGCGUGCAGGAUGAA
rnacentral:rRNA from 1 species